CAAGAUCCAUACCGUGCAGACGCGAGCUCGAGCCGACCUGACCUCCACCUCUUCGCCAGCUUGAUGAUACCCCUUCAGAUUCCAUGGAAGGAAGAAUUUCCUUUCUACCCCCACUCCCCACAACACCCACUUCGCCGUUUCUGUGCAGACGAGGGAUUAGGGAACACGAAUUUGAAAGAUUGGAGGAGGAGACGAAACGGCGU